AGCUCCAAUAGCGUAUAUUAAAGUUGUUGCAGUUAAAAAGCUCGUAGUUGAACUUCGGCUAGUGUCAAUCUGUCGGCUCUCUGAGUGUGUACGGAUCUGAUGCUAGCUUACCUGGUAAAGGCGCAUGCUGUUCUUAACUGAAUGGUAUGUUGUCUUACCUCUUUUACUGUGAACAAAUUAGAGUGUUUAAAGCAGGCAUUUGCUUGAAUACAUUAGCAUGGAAUAAUGGAAUAGGACUUUGGUUCUAUUUUGUUGGUUUCUAGAACUGAAGUAAUGAUUAAUAGGGAUAGUUGGGGGCAUUCAUAUUUAAUUGUCAGAGGUGAAAUUCUUGGAUUUAUGAAAGAUGAACUUCUGCGAAAGCAUUUGCCAAGGAUGUUUUCAUUAAUCAAGAACGAAAGUA
rnacentral:rRNA from 1 species